GACGAACGCUGGCGGCGUGCUUAACACAUGCAAGUCGAACGGAAAGGCCCUGCUUUUGUGGGGUGCUCGAUUGCCGAACGGGUGAGUAACACGUGUGUAACCUGCCCUUGACUUUGGUAUAACUUCAGGAAACUGGGGCUAAUACCGUAUAGCAUCUCCUGCUGCAUUGUGGGGGUUGGAACGUUUAGGCGGUUGGGGAUGGACUCGCGGCUUAUCAGCUUGUUGGUUGGGUAGUGGCUGACCAAGGCUUUGAAGGGUAGCCGGCCUGAGAGGGUGACCGGCCACAUUGGGACUGAGAUACGGACCAGACGCCUACGGGAGGCAGCAGUGGGGAAUAUUGCACAAUGGGAGGAAGCCUGAGGCAGAAACGCCGCGUGCGGGAUGACGGCCUUCGGGUUGAAAAACGCUUUCGCCUGUGACGAAGCGUGAGUGACGGUAAUGGGUAAAGAAGCACCGGCUAACUACGUG
rnacentral:rRNA from 1 species